ACUAAGCGUACACGGUGGAUGCCCUGGCAGUCAGAGGCGAUGAAGGACGUGCUAAUCUGCGAUAAGCGUCGGUAAGGUGAUAUGAACCGUUAUAACCGGCGAUUUCCGAAUGGGGAAACCCAGUGUGAUUCGUCACACUAUCAUUAACUGAAUCCAUAGGUUAAUGAGGCGAACCGGGGGAACUGAAACAUCUAAGUACCCCGAGGAAAAGAAAUCAACCGAGAUUCCCCCAGUAGCGGCGAGCGAACGGGGAGCAGCCCAGAGCCUGAAUCAGUGUGUGUGUUAGUGGAAGCGUCUGGAAAGGCGCGCGAUACAGGGUGACAGCCCCGUACACAAAAAUGCACAUGCUGUGAGCUCGAUGAGUAGGGCGGGACACGUGGUAUCCUGUCUGAAUAUGGGGGGACCAUCCUCCAAGGCUAAAUACUCCUGACUGACCGAUAGUGAACCAGUACCGUGAGGGAAAGGCGAAAAGAACCCCGGCGAGGGGAGUGAAAAAGAACCUGAAACCGUGUACGUACAAGCAGUGGGAGCACGCUUAGGCGUGUGACUGCGUACCUUUUGUAUAAUGGGUCAGCGACUUAUAUUCUGUAGCAAGGUUAACCGAAUAGGGGAGCCGAAGGGAAACCGAGUCUUAACUGGGCGUUAAGUUGCAGGGUAUAGACCCGAAACCCGGUGAUCUAGCCAUGGGCAGGUUGAAGGUUGGGUAACACUAACUGGAGGACCGAACCGACUAAUGUUGAAAAAUUAGCGGAUGACUUGUGGCUGGGGGUGAAAGGCCAAUCAAACCGGGAGAUAGCUGGUUCUCCCCGAAAGCUAUUUAGGUAGCGCCUCGUGAAUUCAUCUCCGGGGGUAGAGCACUGUUUCGGCAAGGGGGUCAUCCGGACUUACCAACCCGAUGCAAACUGCGAAUACCGGAGAAUGUUAUCACGGGAGACACACGGCGGGUGCUAACGUCCGUCGUGAAGAGGGAAACAACCCAGACCGCCAGCUAAGGUCCCAAAGUCAUGGUUAAGUGGGAAACGAUGUGGGAAGGCCCAGACAGCCAGGAUGUUGGCUUAGAAGCAGCCAUCAUUUAAAGAAAGCGUAAUAGCUCACUGGUCGAGUCGGCCUGCGCGGAAGAUGUAACGGGGCUAAACCAUGCACCGAAGCUGCGGCAGCGACACUAUGUGUUGUUGGGUAGGGGAGCGUUCUGUAAGCCUGUGAAGGUGUACUGUGAGGUAUGCUGGAGGUAUCAGAAGUGCGAAUGCUGACAUAAGUAACGAUAAAGCGGGUGAAAAGCCCGCUCGCCGGAAGACCAAGGGUUCCUGUCCAACGUUAAUCGGGGCAGGGUGAGUCGACCCCUAAGGCGAGGCCGAAAGGCGUAGUCGAUGGGAAACAGGUUAAUAUUCCUGUACUUGGUGUUACUGCGAAGGGGGGACGGAGAAGGCUAUGUUGGCCGGGCGACGGUUGUCCCGGUUUAAGCGUGUAGGCUGGUUUUCCAGGCAAAUCCGGAAAACUAAGGCUGAGGCGUGAUGACGAGGCACUACGGUGCUGAAGCAACAAAUGCCCUGCUUCCAGGAAAAGCCUCUAAGCAUCAGGUAACAUCAAAUCGUACCCCAAACCGACACAGGUGGUCAGGUAGAGAAUACCAAGGCGCUUGAGAGAACUCGGGUGAAGGAACUAGGCAAAAUGGUGCCGUAACUUCGGGAGAAGGCACGCUGAUAUGUAGGUGAAGUCCCUCGCGGAUGGAGCUGAAAUCAGUCGAAGAUACCAGCUGGCUGCAACUGUUUAUUAAAAACACAGCACUGUGCAAACACGAAAGUGGACGUAUACGGUGUGACGCCUGCCCGGUGCCGGAAGGUUAAUUGAUGGGGUCAGCGCAAGCGAAGCUCUUGAUCGAAGCCCCGGUAAACGGCGGCCGUAACUAUAACGGUCCUAAGGUAGCGAAAUUCCUUGUCGGGUAAGUUCCGACCUGCACGAAUGGCGUAAUGAUGGCCAGGCUGUCUCCACCCGAGACUCAGUGAAAUUGAACUCGCUGUGAAGAUGCAGUGUACCCGCGGCAAGACGGAAAGACCCCGUGAACCUUUACUAUAGCUUGACACUGAACAUUGAGCCUUGAUGUGUAGGAUAGGUGGGAGGCUUUGAAGUGUGGACGCCAGUCUGCAUGGAGCCGACCUUGAAAUACCACCCUUUAAUGUUUGAUGUUCUAACGUUGACCCGUGAUCCGGGUUGCGGACAGUGUCUGGUGGGUAGUUUGACUGGGGCGGUCUCCUCCUAAAGAGUAACGGAGGAGCACGAAGGUUGGCUAAUCCUGGUCGGACAUCAGGAGGUUAGUGCAAUGGCAUAAGCCAGCUUGACUGCGAGCGUGACGGCGCGAGCAGGUGCGAAAGCAGGUCAUAGUGAUCCGGUGGUUCUGAAUGGAAGGGCCAUCGCUCAACGGAUAAAAGGUACUCCGGGGAUAACAGGCUGAUACCGCCCAAGAGUUCAUAUCGACGGCGGUGUUUGGCACCUCGAUGUCGGCUCAUCACAUCCUGGGGCUGAAGUAGGUCCCAAGGGUAUGGCUGUUCGCCAUUUAAAGUGGUACGCGAGCUGGGUUUAGAACGUCGUGAGACAGUUCGGUCCCUAUCUGCCGUGGGCGCUGGAGAACUGAGGGGGGCUGCUCCUAGUACGAGAGGACCGGAGUGGACGCAUCACUGGUGUUCGGGUUGUCAUGCCAAUGGCACUGCCCGGUAGCUAAAUGCGGAAGAGAUAAGUGCUGAAAGCAUCUAAGCACGAAACUUGCCCCGAGAUGAGUUCUCCCUGACUCCUUGAGAGUCCUGAAGGAACGUUGAAGACGACGACGUUGAUAGGCCGGAUGUGUAAGCGCAGCGAUGCGUUGAGCUAACCGGUACUAAUGAACCGUGAGGCUUAACC
rnacentral:rRNA from 1 species